rnacentral:sRNA from 1 species
GUGGGAGGAUCGCUUGAGCCCAGGAGUUUGAGACCUGCCUGGGCAACAUAGUGAGACCCCAUCUCUACAUCCAAAUAAAAUAAAAUAAAAUAAAAUAAAAAGGUAAAAAAAAAGAGAGAGAGACAGCGUGAUAAUUUUUGUACCAGGAAUGAAAAGGGAGCCCAAAAAUCUAAGCAGUGAGCAGGUGCUGAAAUCAAGGGACUCACAGAGCAAGCCAGACAGGAUUAGACUUUAUUACUGGGGACUGGGCUUGAACCUCCGGGCUGCAACAUCAGAGGCUAACAGAAUGGAAAGUUAAAAGAUGGACAAAAGACUUGGGGCUGGAAAGCAGCAGAUGCGAGCAGAAUUGACAGAACAGCACAUGGCCAGGAUAUCCCUCCCCGCUAAAAUACUAGGAUACUGACUUAGAAAAGCAGAGGGUCAGGGAAAUCUAAAAAAAAAAGACUGACAUUUCUAUUUAAGAGACAUUGCCUAAAUUGCUGAUUAAAUAAACAGAUCCAACCAGAUCUAAAUAAUAUUGGACAUUUAAUUAGCUUUCCUAUUACACUGCAGGUACAGCCUCAGGAAUACUUAUAGGCAAAAUUAAAGUGCUACUUUUCUAUCUGCCUCUCUGAGUUGGAGUGAGUUAAAUGUGUAACCCCCACAUUGUAUAUAAUAAUCUCUUACAAUCUUGUUCAUAGUGCCACCUAUGGUCACGACCAAUUAGAGCUGGUAAGGCAGCUGCACUGUUUGCUUCAGCCAAUGAGGGUAAAUGUACUAUGUUGCUAAGACUCUCAGCCAAUGAGUACUCUCCUGAGCUAUCUUCAGCCAGGCAUGCACUGCAAGAUGGGUCAUUUGUGCUUCUUUGGCUUAACUUUCUGCCAUUGACUUUGGGUUCUAGGGAACAGAUUGACCCCAAACAUCUGACAUAACCUAUGUAAGUGACAGUGUUGGGUUAGAAUAAAGAAACAAAGACUAUCAUGGCAUUUUUUUAAUAAAGCAAUUGUUACAGUGACCUGUUUUGGAGACUGCCAGAGGUUAGGUGGCAGUUGCCUUCUAGAUCUAGCCACAGGAGAAAAAAUUAAAGAGCCAUACGACUGUGAGGCAGAUCCUCAUCAGGGAGGAGGCACAGUGUCUUUUUAACCACUUUGAAGACCAACAGCCAAGACAUCUUGAGCUAGUUGUGGUGGACAGAGUGUUCCAAACACCUCAGCCACCAGGAAAAGGGAGUGGCCAGGAAGAGGCUGCAGGCUCAAGGGCAGGGAUUCUCCCACCCACCCAAGGAACCUACUGAGCAUCGAACCACUCCAACUUGCCUUGGGAAGAGGACUUGAAUGCUACCAAAGACUGCUCGACAGGCCUGCAAGGCAGGACUACUUUUGUGAGAAUUUGAAGACCAUGCCGACCUGUCAUUUAAAGACACCCAUCUCUGCCUGAGCUGUCAGAUUUGCCAAGUUCUGGGUUGUCUCAUAAUUAUUUACUCAGUACAAAAUAAUACCAGCCAUGAUCCUCAGUGGUAAGUAGCAGAAAUCAACUGUAUUUGUUUGCUAAGGCUGCACUAAUAAAGUGCUGUAAACCA